GAGCCCUUGGGCCGCUGCUCUGGCCGCUCCCACGCUGUGGAGCGUACUUUCAUUUGCAAUAAAUCUCUGCAUUUGUUCUUUCGCUGCAUCAUUCUUUCCUUGCUCUGCUGUACAUUUUGUCCAAUUCUUUGUUCAAAACGCCAAGAACCUGGACAACAUGCAGUCAAGACCCUCCACCAGUAACAGUAACAUUCUGGAAUUUGCUGUCACCCAGGUUGCAGUACAGUUGCACCACCCUAGCUCACUGGAGCUUCCUGGGCUCAAGUGAUCCUUCCGCCUCCUUCUGCCUCUUCCUCCCAAAGUGCUGAGAUUACAGGCCUAAGUCACUGUGCUUGGCCCAUUUAUUGUUUCUUAAGGGCAAGUGAACAAGUGGGGUGGAACCAUAUAGCUGAAGGCCUUGAAUUCCCAUUGAGGGUUUUUAUUUAAUUUGCUAGUUUCUGAGGAGCCACAAAUGUUUUACGUACAGCAAUGAUCUUGUCCAAUUUUUAAAAAUAUUUGUUUAAUGUUCUAAAAUGUAACCACUUCAUUGGCUGGAGUGGUUGAACUCAUU
rnacentral:lncRNA from 1 species